CGAACGAUGAACCACUUCGGUGGGGAUUAGUGGCGAACGGGUGAGUAACACGUGGGCAAUCUGCCCUUCACUCUGGGACAAGCCCUGGAAACGGGGUCUAAUACCGGAUACCACUCUCACAGGCAUCUGUGGGGGUUGAAAGCUCCGGCGGUGAAGGAUGAGCCCGCGGCCUAUCAGCUUGUUGGUGAGGUAACGGCUCACCAAGGCGACGACGGGUAGCCGGCCUGAGAGGGCGACCGGCCACACUGGGACUGAGACACGGCCCAGACUCCUACGGGAGGCAGCAGUGGGGAAUAUUGCACAAUGGGCGAAAGCCUGAUGCAGCGACGCCGCGUGAGGGAUGACGGCCUUCGGGUUGUAAACCUCUUUCAGCAGGGAAGAAGCGAAAGUGACGGUACCUGCAGAAGAAGCGCCGGCUAACUACGUGCCAGCAGCCGCGGUAAUACGUAGGGCGCAAGCGUUGUCCGGAAUUAUUGGGCGUAAAGAGCUCGUAGGCGGCUUGUCACGUCGGGUGUGAAAGCCCGGGGCUUAACCCCGGGUCUGCAUUCGAUACGGGCUAGCUAGAGUGUGGUAGGGGAGAUCGGAAUUCCUGGUGUAGCGGUGAAAUGCGCAGAUAUCAGGAGGAACACCGGUGGCGAAGGCGGAUCUCUGGGCCAUUACUGACGCUGAGGAGCGAAAGCGUGGGGAGCGAACAGGAUUAGAUACCCUGGUAGUCCACGCCGUAAACGGUGGGAACUAGGUGUUGGCGACAUUCCACGUCGUCGGUGCCGCAGCUAACGCAUUAAGUUCCCCGCCUGGGGAGUAC
rnacentral:rRNA from 1 species